rnacentral:rRNA from 1 species
UACGUAGGGUGCAAGCGUUGUCCGGAAUUAUUGGGCGUAAAGAGCUCGUAGGCGGUCUGUCGCGUCGGAUGUGAAAACCCAGGGCUCAACCCUGGGCCUGCAUUCGAUACGGGCAGACUAGAGUUCGGUAGGGGAGACUGGAAUUCCUGGUGUAGCGGUGAAAUGCGCAGAUAUCAGGAGGAACACCGGUGGCGAAGGCGGGUCUCUGGGCCGACACUGACGCUGAGGAGCGAAAGCCAGGGGAGCAAACGGG